ACGCCAGUGGCACAGCUGGGUAGCUAUGUUGGGACUGGAUAAACGCUGAAAGCAUCUAAGCGUGAAGCCAACCUCAAGAUGAGAUUUCCCAUAGCGUAAGCUAGUAAGACUCCUGGAAGAACACCAGGUUGAUAGGUCAGAGAUGUAAGCAUGGCAACAUGUUAAGUUGACUGAUACUAAUAAGUCGAGGGCUUGACCAAAA
rnacentral:rRNA from 1 species